UACGUAGGAUGCAAGCGUUGUCCGGAAUUAUUGGGAGUAAAGGGAGAGUAGGCGGUAUAGUAAGUAAGAUGUGAAAUAUCCCGGCUUAACCGGGAGGGGUCAUUGGAAACUGGUAAACUAGAGUGCAGGAGAGGCUAGCGGAAUUCCCGGUGUAGUGGUGAAAUGCGUAGAUAUCGGGAGGAACACCAGUGGCGAAGGCGGCUAGCUGGCCUGUAACUGACGCUGAGGCGCGAAGGCUAGGGGAGCGAACAGG
rnacentral:rRNA from 1 species